CCUACGGGAGGCAGCAGUGGGGAAUUUUGGACAAUGGACGCAAGUCUGAUCCAGCAAUGCCGCGUGCAGGACGAAGGCCUUCGGGUUGUAAACUGCUUUUGUACGGAACGAAACGGUCUUCUUUAAUACAGAGGGCUAAUGACGGUACCGUAAGAAUAAGCACCGGCUAACUACGUGCCAACAGCCGCGGUAAUACGUAGGGUGCGAGCGUUAAUCGGAAUUACUGGGCGUAAAGCGUGCGCAGGCGGUUAUAUAAGUCAGAUGUGAAAUCCCCGGGCUCAACCUGGGACCUGCAUUUGAGACUGUAUAGCUAGAGUACGGUAGAGGGGGAUGGAAUUCCGCGUGUAGCAGUGAAAUGCGUAGAUAUGCGGAGGAACACCGAUGGCGAAGGCAAUCCCCUGGACCUGUACUGACGCUCAUGCACGAAAGCGUGGGGAGCAAACAGGAUUAGAUACCCUGGUAGUCCACGCCCUAAACGAUGUCAACUGGUUGUUGGGUCUUCACUGACUCAGUAACGAAGCUAACGCGUGAAGUUGACCGCCUGGGGAGUACGGCCGCAAGGUUGAAACUUCAAAGGAAUUGACGG
rnacentral:rRNA from 1 species